UACCGCUAUUGGAGUUCGAUUAAGCCAUGCGAGUCGCGAGAAAUUAGAUUCUCGGCGUACCGCUCAGUAACACGUGGGUAACCUGCCCUAUGCUGGAUAAUAACCUCGGGAAACUGAGUAUAAUGAUCCAUAGUUCACUACGCCUGGAACGGUGAGUGGACGAAAGCUCCGGCGGCAUAGGAUGGGCCUGCGGCGUAUCAGGUUGUAGGGGGUGUAACGUACCCUCUAGCCCUCUACGCGUACGGGUGUUGGGAGACAUAGCCCGGAGAUGGAUUCUGAGACACGAAUCCAGACCCUACGGGGUGCAGCAGGCGCGAAAACUUGGCAAUGCGAGAAAUCGUGACCAGGGAACUCCAAGUGCAUCGGGUAAGACCGGUGCUUUUCUUGACUCUAAAUAGGUCUUGGAAUAAGGGGUGGGUAAGGACGGUGCCAGCCGCCGCGGUAAUACCGGCGCCUCAAGUGGUAGUCGCUUUUAUUGGGCUUAAAACGUCCGUAGCCGGUCUGAUACAUUCGUGGGUAAAUCAACCAGCUCAACUGGUUGAAUUCUGCGAGGACGGUCAGACUUGGGACCGGGAGAGGUGUGGGGUACGCUCAGGGUAGGGGUAAAAUCCUGUCAUCCUGAGCGGACCACCUGUUGCGAAGGCGCCACACUAGAACGGAUCCGACGGUCAGGGACGAAGCCUAGGGGCACGAACCGGAUUAGAUACCCGGGUAGUCCUAGGUGUAAACGCUGUGGACUUGAUGUUGGGGGUGCUCCGAGCAC
rnacentral:rRNA from 1 species